UGGCGGUGAUGAAAAAAAAGGCCGGACUUACGGCUGCUACUAUUUGGUUGGUAGUAGAUUGAUGAAACUAUGUCUGAGGUAUUACUUCUGAGCCAA